AAAAACAUAGUAUAGUUAAAUACAUUUCACUUACACUGAAAAUACACUUAAUUUAAUAAGUUGUUUUUA
rnacentral:tRNA from 1 species